rnacentral:misc_RNA from 1 species
GUCUCUUUGGUAAUCUUAUCCAUUAUCCACUUUUUUUUCUUAAUUUUUAGUGUUCGUUAUGUUGUUUAGACCUGCAAAGAUUAGAUUGUAAAAUUUGAGUUAGAUUGGACAUUUAGUUUGGGCAAAGUUCCUUCUUUCAAUUUUGAAUUUUACAUUUACUUUUAUUAUUUAUUGUUUUUAUUUAAUUAAUUUUUUUAUGUUUAUUUAAUUAUUUAUGUUUUAUAUUAUUU